CCUGACACUACCCGUGUGCCCACUGAGGACCAACAAGGCCAGGUGUCCCAGCACUACAAGCAACACACAGGCGGCCUGAAGGAAGCCAGGGCAAAUAGUUGUCCAUGACAACACUGGGAUGGGAAGUGCCCGGGAAGAGAAAGCAACCAGCAGAGGAGCACCUUAGGGGCCAAGAGAGAAAGAAGCAGGAAUGUAGACACUAAAUGGAAAUAAUGAAGCCCAAACUAUUAAAGUAUUAACUGAAAUUCAGAGUUUUCAUCUCAAUUUUCUCUAGAGCAUCUGGCAACCAGAUGUAAAUGCAACAUGAAUCCCUCCUAACCAACAAGUAAUUGUUCCAUAAGGCUCAAUAAUAAUACAUUUAUUUAUAACUAAAUAAUUUUAUUACUAAAUAUAUUUAAUUUAUAACUAAAUAUAUUAAUUUAAUUUAUAGAUGUAUUUAAUAUAAAUAUUUCACUAUAUAAAUGCUUUUUAUUAUAUAUUACAAAUACAUUUUAUCUGUUUUACAAAUAAUAUAUAAUGUUUAUAUUAUAUAUAAUUUUUAUAUAUUAUAGAUAUAAUUUUUUAUAUUUAUGUUUUUAUAUCUAUAUUAUAUAAUGUCACUUAUAUAGUGUCAUAUACAAUAUAUGUUUUAUAUAACAUAUAAUGUCUUAGAUAUAUAACAUAUAUGCAAUGUCUCAUAUAUAUAUAUAUAUAUAUAUAUAUAUAUAUAUAU
rnacentral:lncRNA from 1 species